UACGAAGGGGGCUAGCGUUGCUCGGAAUUACUGGGCGUAAAGCGCACGUAGGCGGCUCUUUAAGUCGGGGGUGAAAUCCUGGAGCUCAACUCCAGAACUGCCUUCGAUACUGAAGAGCUCGAGUCCGGGAGAGGUGAGUGGAACUGCGAGUGUAGAGGUGAAAUUCGUAGAUAUUCGCAAGAACACCAGUGGCGAAGGCGGCUCACUGGCCCGGGUACUGACGCUGAGGUGACGAAAGCGUGGGGAGCAAACAGGAUUAGAUACC
rnacentral:rRNA from 1 species